UCCGAUCACGAGGUGGGCCCCCUGAGGCAU
rnacentral:sRNA from 1 species